rnacentral:rRNA from 1 species
CGAACGUGGGUAACCUGCCCAUCAGAGGGGGAUAACAUUCGGAAACGGAUGCUAAAACCGCAUAGGUCCUUUAACCGCAUGGUUGAAGGAGGAAAAGAGGCGCAAGCUUCUGCUGAUGGAUGGACCCGCGGUGCAUUAGCUAGUUGGUGAGGUAACGGCUCACCAAGGCCGUGAUGCAUAGCCGACCUGAGAGGGUGAUCGGCCACACUGGGACUGAGACACGGCCCAG